AGUCGAGCCUUGUUUUCCUCCGCCUUGCUGUUGCGAAUUCAAUCCAAAAAUCUCCUUUUUGUGAUAGAGACACUUGUUUGUGGAAUUUAUGAACUUUGGUGUAAUGCCGAGACGUUGUGCUUUCGGUUGUGCGCUCCGUGAGAUUCCAAUGCAUCAUUUCCCAGAUGCUGUCAAAUUUCCUGAGCAGUUUAAAACUUGGGUCAGUCUUGUUGGUGGAAACCCUUAAACAUCUGAUUUUGAAUGUUAUAAGAAGUAGAGAAUUUGUUAUAUACACUUUUCUGACAGACACAGAAAUCGUAAUCAACGGCUAAGCACAUUGGCAGUUCCGAUGCUUCAUCUGCCUGGACAACUACAGAGUCAAGUAAUCUUAGGACAAGCUUCAUCCACACAACAUUUACUGCCUACAAUAAUACAGCAAGACUGUUCAGAGCCAUAUGUGAGCAACUUUAUUUUAGAAAAAGCAUCAACUUCAACAACAUUCCUACCUGUAGCUGCAGUUAAAAUUCACAUAUUUUUUUCAAUUUGUUGGCUAUUAUCAAUAAUAAUAAAUAUAUAAAUUAAUGAUUA